rnacentral:rRNA from 1 species
AGAGUUUGAUCCUGGCUCAGGACGAACGCUGGCGGCGUGCCUUAGACAUGCAAGUCGAACGAGGGCUUCGGCCCUAGUGGCGAACGGCGGAGUAAGGCAUAAGCAACGUGCCCCGAAGUCCGGGAUAUACGGUCGAAAGGCCGGGUAAUACCGGAUGUGGUCUUUUUACGGCAUCGUAGUUAGACUGAAGGUUUUUCGCUUCGGGAGCGACUUAUGUGUCAUCAGCUAGUUGGUGGGGUAACGGCCUACCAAGGCGACGACGACUAGGGGGUCUGAGAGGAUGAUCCCCCCGAGUGGGACUGAGACACGGCCCACACACCUACGGGUGGCAGCAGUUUGGAAUCUUGCCCAAUGGGGGAAACCCUGAGGCAGCGACGCCGCGUGGAGGAUGAAGGAUCUAGGUUCGUAAACUCCUUUUGCCAGGAAAGACUUAGGACGGUACCUGGCGAAUAAGCCCCGGCUAACUCCGUGCCAGCAGCCGCGGUAAUACGGAGGGGGCAAGCGUUGUCCGGAUUUACUGGGCGUAAAGGGCGCGUAGGCGGUCUGUUAAGCGUGAUGUGAAAUCUCCAGGGCUCAACCCGGAAACUGCAUUGCGAACUGGCAGACUAGAGGAAGGUAGAGGUGAGUGGAAUUCCGAGUGUAACGGUGACAUGUGUAGAUAUUCGGAGGAACACCCAUGGCGAAGGCAGCUCACUGGGCCUUUCCUGACGCUGAGGCGCGAAAGCGUGGGUAGCAAACAGAAUUAGAUACUCUGGUAGUCCACGCCCUAAACGAUGGAUACUAGGCGUCUGGGGUAUUGACCCCCUAGGUGCCGCAGCCAACGCAUUAAGUAUCCCGCCUGGGGAGUGCGGCCGCAAGGUUGAAACUCAAAUGAAUUGACGGGGACCCGCACAAGCGGUGGAGCAUGUGGCUUAAUUCGAUACUAACCGAAGAACCUUACCCAGGUUCGACAUCUAGAGAAAGGGUGUGAAAGCACUCCCCCGGCCACAAGCCGGCUCGAAGACACUUGUUGCAUGGCUGUCGUCAGCUCGUGCCGUGAGGUGUUUGGUUAAGUCCAGCAACGAGCGCAACCCUCGUCCUAUGUUGCCAGCGAGUAAAGUCGGGAACUCAUAGGAGACCGCCGGUGUAAGCCGGAGGAAGGUGGGGAUGAUGUCAAGUCAGCAUGGCAGUUACGCCUGGGGCUACACACAUGCUACAAUGGAUGAAACAAAGCGCAGCAAUACCGCGAGGUGGAGCUAAUCGCAAAAAUACAUCCUCAGUUCAGAUAGGAGUCUGCAACUCGACUCCUUGAAGUCGGAAUCGCUAGUAAACGCAGGUCAGCUAUACUGCGUUGAAUACGUUCCCGGGUCUUGUACACACUGCCCGUCAAGUCACCCGAAUUGUCUUCACCCGAAGCCCGUGGCCCAACCGUAAGGAGGGAGCGGUCGAAGGUGGGGGGGGUAAGGGGGACUAAGUCGUAACAAGGUAACCGUAA